rnacentral:rRNA from 1 species
UACGUAGGCAGCAAGCGUUGUUCGGAGUUACUGGGCGUAAAGGGUGUGUAGGCGGUGCUCUAAGUUCGGUGUGAAAUCUCCUGGCUCAACUGGGAGGGUGCGCCGGAAACUGGAGUGCUUGAGCGUGGGAGAGGAAAGCGGAAUUCCUGGUGUAGCGGUGAAAUGCGUAGAUAUCAGGAGGAACACCUGUGGUGUAGACGGCUCACUGGACCAUUACUGACGCUGAGGCACGAAAGCUAGGGGAGCAAACAGG